AUUGUGGUGAAUCAUAGUAACUGAUCGGAUCCCCAAUUGGGGAUAAAUCAUUCAAGUUUCUGCCCUAUCAGCUUUCGAUGGUAGUGUAUUGGACUACCAUGGCAGUAACGGGUAACGGAGAAUUAGGGUUCGGUUCCGGAGAGGGAGCCUGAGAAACGGCUACCACAUCUAAGGAAGGCAGCAGGCGCGUAAAUUACCCAAUGCAGAUUCUGCGAGGUAGUGACAAUACAUAACAACCUGGGGUCUCACGACUUACGGGAUUGCAAUGAGAACAAUUUAAAAACCUUAACGAGGAACAAGUGGAGGGCAAGUCUGGUGCCAGCAGCCGCGGUAAUUCCAGCUCCACUAGCGUAUAUUAAAGUUGUUGCAGUUAAAAAGCUCGUAGUUGAACUUCUGAUUGUUGUUAGCGUCGGUAUUUAUAUCGCGUUAGUGGCAGUCAUCCGUCUGCAAACUUUUACAUCCUUAACUGGUUUGUCUAAGGGAGCAGGCAUUUUACUUUGAAAAAAUUAGAGUGUUUAAGGCAGGCGCAAGCCUGAAUACAUUAGCAUGGAAUAAUGGAAUAGGACGCUUGUCCAUUUGAUUGGUUAUUGGACUCGCGUAAUGAUUAAUAGGGACAGUUGGGGGCAUUAGUAUUUAAUUGUCAGAGGUGAAAUUCUUGGAU
rnacentral:rRNA from 1 species